rnacentral:rRNA from 1 species
CAAAGGUUUGGUCCUGACUUUACUAUCAAUUUUAGCCCAACUUAUACAUGCAAGUAUCCGCGCCCCGGUGAGAAUGCCCUACAAUUCCCUACUAGGGAACAAGGAGCCGGUAUCAGGCACAAGAAACCA